rnacentral:ribozyme from 1 species
UGCCCAGCAACUCCUAUUCCUACAUCCUCGUGGUAUUGGCCGGGGUACGAGUUACCUCAGCGAAGAUCGGGUAACCAACUCUGAUGGGAGCUUUGGUCGUAUGCUGACAGGGAAGG